GAUCCUGCAGGCAAUUAGAGCGAAAUCUCCGACGGGAGGUGCUAAGUGGUCCGCCGGACCGUCCGUAUCUGCGUCAUUAAUAUGCAUGAGGCCGGCCCGAGAGCCAUCAAGCGGCGGCCUCCGCAGUUCCCCGGCGCGGCACCGCUCAUCAGCAGCACAUUUGCGCUAAUGUCCUGAAAUGAAUCCGCACUCAUGUCAAACGGGUGCUUAAGACGAGAAUUUAGCGCAAAUUAAUCCGGAAGCUGAAAAAGGGAGCUCUUAAGAUCUGAGCGCUUUAAGAUGUAAAUGGCCGACCGCACUACCACUUUGUUUUCAUGCCAUUGGAUGAAUAAACGAGGGCAGCAUGUGCGCAUCCUAGCUGGCGACCCAGGUGAAGGUGCGAGCUCUAUUGGCCCUCAGUGUCCUACUUUUACUUUUGGAUGUUCUACUUCAUGGAAAAGUAGGCAGCAGCAUGAUGCCCCUGUUUGAAAGAAGCUCAAAGUCCUGGUGCAGGAAGAACAGCACUGAGAAACUGCCCAGUGGGGGCACUUAGCUCCACCCAGUCUGGGCCGUGUGAUAAAAGAAGCCCGGCUGCUCAGAAGGAAGAGUCACUUACAAACAAAGCAACCCACUGGACGCAGAUCCAAUGAUGGACCCUGGUUUCCACGGCAAAGAGCCAAAUUACUUUUGUUGUUUACUUUGCCCAAGCGGUCUGCUUAUUGAAGCCAAGGGGCUUAUUUUUGUUGGACGUUCCGUCAUUAAAUGGGACAACCUGGUUGGUGUCCCAACUAUUCCUUCCCUUUGCGACCUGUCAUUUCUGCACCCGACCACACAGUCCUAAUCCUGCAGUCUAUCGGAGUCUGUUGCUCACCAGUAGUGGGCACGUGGGACAAAAGAGUGCAUGACAAAUGUGAGCAAAUGACAGGGCCAGUGACAAAGGCGCAGAGAUAAAAUGCAAAUGAAUGCAGCACAUUGAAUCUCAUUUAGUAGGCAAUCCACAUGCCAGUUAUUCAGUUGCUCGGAACCUGUAAAACACAUGCAUUUUUGACUAAAAUAUUAGAUCAAAUCAUAAACUAGAACAUGCAUCCCCACAGUACUGGGCUUUUGAAUCAAAGAUCUGCCUCUCCACCUCAUUCACUGGUCAAGAGUCCUGUCUUCAGUUCAAAAGUAAAGUAUUAUGGGAAUUUGUCUUCCUGUUUAUGAUGGGCACUGAUUUUUCCACAAGUAUAUAUUUAACAAUAUUUUUAGCUUUUGUUUUGCAUGUUCUUAGCAUACAACUGAAUAACUGACAUGUGGAUUAAGUGGCACGAGUAAUGUGAGAUUUUUCUUCUUUUUUCCAUGGACGUUUUCCACAUUGUUUGCUGUUGUAUUGCCUAAAUCACCAUUGGGUUCAAUUAUAUCAUAUCAUUUUUUUCGGUUUUGCUGGAAAAAUAAUAAAAGUUUUUCUUGGAUGUUGUUUCAAAAUACAUGGGGUAAGUGACAUAAGAAAUAUCACUCUUUGGUGGAGUUUUCCUUUAACACUGAAUAUUCCCUUUUCUAAACACAUUGGCAAAAAAAUCAGACCAAUUAUUCAUUCUCUGCCAAACGGCUUUGU